CCUACGGGUGGCAGCAGUGAGGAAUAUUGGUCAAUGGGCGCGAGCCUGAACCAGCCAAGUCGCGUGAGGGAAGACGGCCCUACGGGUUGUAAACCUCUUUUGCCGGGGAGCAACGGGCGCCACGUGUGGCGCCACUGAGAGUACCCGGAGAAAAAGCAUCGGCUAACUCCGUGCCAGCAGCCGCGGUAAUACGGAGGAUGCGAGCGUUAUCCGGAUUUAUGGGGUUUAAAGGGGGCGGAGGCGGAGCGUUAAUCAAGUGGUCAAAUUGGGGGGCUCAACCCCUUCCCGCCAUUGAAACUGGCGCUCUUGAGUGGAAGAGAGGUAUGCGGAAUGCGUGGUGUAGCGGUGAAAUGCAUAGAUAUCACGCAGAACCCCGAUUGCGAAGGCAGCAUGCCGGCUUCCGACUGACGCUGAAGCACGAAAGCGUGGGGAUCGAACAGGAUUAGAUACCCUUGUAGUC
rnacentral:rRNA from 1 species